AUGUUUAUUCUCAACUCUGCAUACGAUUCAUUUCAGGUACGAUAUGUUCUGAUACCGGAUUCGUUGGCUCCUGGUAAUUCGUGGUCGUGUUGCAAACAUAAUAUCCGGAACUGCAAUUCCACGCAAAUGGAAUUCCUUAACGGAUUCAGGGACGCGAUGGUGGAUGCAUUGAAGGUUGUCGAAGAUAAAGAGGGAUGGGGAUUGUUCAUUGAUUCAUGCUUCACUCACUGCCAAACGGUCUCUGACAUCUCUUGGAAUUCACCAUUCUCCCCUAGGCUUGGAGAUAAGACAAUUGCUGAGGCUGUAGGAGAUUGGCAAUGUGGAUGUAGCGAAAGAGUGAAAGAGAUUGACUGCGAGUACCCAUGCAACCCAACAUGCAGUAGACAGUUGCCGUGGAUGUAA
rnacentral:rRNA from 1 species